rnacentral:rRNA from 1 species
UACGGGGGGACCAAGCGUUGUUCGGAUUUACUGGGCGUAAAGGGCGCGUAGGCGGCAAUUCAAGUCAGCUGUGAAAUCUCCGGGCUUAACUCGGAACGGUCAGCUGAUACUGCUUUGCUAGAGUGCAGAAGGGGCAAUCGGAAUUCUUGGUGUAGCGGUGAAAUGCGUAGAUAUCAAGAGGAACACCUGAGGUGAAGACGGGUUGCUGGGCUGACACUGACGCUGAGGCGCGAAAGCUAGGGUAGCAAACGGG